rnacentral:rRNA from 1 species
ACGGCUCAGUAACACGUGGACAACCUACCCAAGAGUCAGGGAUAACCCCGGGAAACUGGGGAUAAUACCUGAUAGGCCACGACAUCUGGAAUGAGUCGUGGUUUAAACGUAAGGCUCUUGGAUGGGUCUGCGGCGGAUUAGGUUGUUGCCGGUGUAACGUACCAGCAAGCCUGUAAUCCGUACGGGUUGUGGGAGCAAGAGCCCGGAGAUGGAUUCUGAGACACGAAUCCAGGCCCUACGGGGCGCAGCAGGCGCGAAAACUCUACAAUGCAGGCAACUGCGAUAGGGGAACAUCGAGUGGCACCCACCAUGGGUGUCUGUCCAGCCGUCUAAAAAACGGCUGUUAGCAAGGGCCGGGCAAGACCGGUGCCAGCCGCCGCGGUAAUACCGGCGGCUCGAGUGGUGGCCGAUAUUAUUGAGUCUAAAGGGUCCGUAGCCGGCUUUGCAAGUCCCCUGGGAAAUCCAGCGGCUUAACCGUUGGGCUUUCAUGGGAUACUACAUUGCUUGGGACUGGGAGAGGUAGGAGGUACUCAGGGGGUAGGGGUGAAAUCCUGUAAUCCUCUGGGGACCACCGGUGGCGAAGGCGUCCUACCAGAACAGGUCCGACGGUGAGGGACGAAAGCUAGGGGCACGAACCGGAUUAGAUACCCGGGUAGUCCUAGCCGUAAACGAUGCUCGCUAGGUGUCACGGCAGUCGUGAAUUGUCGUGGUGCCGUAGGGAAGCCGUGAAGCGAGCCACUUGGGAAGUACGACCGCAAGGUUGAAACUUAAAGGAAUUGGCGGGGGAGCAC